CAUAAAAGCAAUCCUCGUAUGUCUUAGAAACAGGAGAGUCUCAACAAGUGUGUUGGUUUGUGCAUCUACACAUACCUAUAUAUUUUACUAUAUAAAUAUAUCAUCAAAUAUUAAAGCCAAGAGCGGCGCAAGGCGAUGGAAUGGUGGCGGAGAGUUUGGUGCGCUGUUUCUUCUCGUCUCAGACCUCAUAAAACUGGCAGAGGACUUGUGAAACUCCACGACGACAUUCAAACAUGUGGAUACGAGGAUGUACAGAUUAUGUGGGAAAUGUUGAGGGCGACGGAAUUAAAACAUAGUAGUAAGAAAAAAGGUGGGCGGUUUUGUACAAACAAAGUCUCUAUCUAAAUAUAUAUGAGGAUAUUAGUUAUGUUAAUGUUAAUAUGAAGGAUUGGCAAUUUGGCAAUUUGGCAAUUA